UUUCCGUAGGUGAACCUGCGGAAGGAUCAUUAAUAAAUGGUCUACGUUUUUUAAGUAGACGCUUAAUAAUCCUACCCUUUGUGAAUUUGUUUGUUUGAAAUAAUUUUUUUUAAAAUUAUUGAAUGUCUUUCCCUGUUGAAUUGGUUGUCUUUAAUGGCAAGUGAUUCGCAGGGGAGUGUCAAUAAUUUUUAAAAAGACCUUUUUUUAAAAUUAAACUUUUUGUAUUCAUUUGUCUAAAAAUUAUUUUUAUAAUAUAAAAACAACUUUUGACAAUGGAUCUCUUGGUUCUCGCAACGAUGAAGAACGCAGCAAAAUGCGAUAAGUAGUGUGAAUUGCAGAAUACGUGAAUCAUCGAAUCUUCGAACGCAUAUUGCACUUUUUUAGUUUACUAAAAAAAGUAUGUCUGUUUGAGUAUCAGUAAAAUAUUCUCAUAAAAAACAUUGUUUUUUAUGGUUAUGAGUGUUUUACAACGAUACAAGUUGUUUCACUUUAAAUUUUUUUAAAAUUUGAAUUUUUCUAAUUUUAAAAUAAAAUUGGAUAAAAUUUUCCCGUAAAAAGGAAUAACCUAAACAAUUUUAAUUUUUGAUUAGAAAAUCCAAACUAAAAGGAAAAUUUAACUAAAUAACUUGAUCUCAAAUCAGAUAAGAGUACCCGCUGAACUUAAGCAUAUCAAUAAGCGGAGGAAAAGAAACUAACAAGGAUUCCCUUAGUAACGGCGAGUGAAGCGGGAAGAGCUCAAAUUUGAAAUCUUCAAGGUUUUACCUUGACGAAUUGUAGUUUAAAGAAGUGUUUUCUGUUGAAGUUUUGGUAAAAGUUCUUUGGAAUAGGACAUCAUAGAGGGUGAGAAUCCCGUAUUUGACCAUUAUUUCAGCUGUGUGAUACACUUUCAAAGAGUCGGAUUGUUUGGGAAUGCAGUCCAAAAUGGGUGGUAAAUUUCAUCUAAAGCUAAAUAUUGGCGAGAGACCGAUAGCGAACAAGUACCGUGAGGGAAAGAUGAAAAGAACUUUGAAAAGAGAGUUAAACAGUACGUGAAAUUGUCAAAAGGGAAGCGUUUGACACCAGUGUUGUUUUCUCGAAAAUCAAUUAAAAAAAGUUGGAUUUUGUGUUGUAUUGACCUUAACAGCUUGCUUCACUCUUUUCCUGCUUUUUUUAAUGCACUUUUCGUUUAACAAGUCAACAUCAGUUUCUUUUGUUGUAAAAGGGUCAUUGGAAGGUGGCUUUCUCUUCGGAGAAAGUGUUUAUAGCCUUUGAUCUCUGCAAUCGGAGAGACUGAGGUCUGCAGCGUAGAUCCUUCGGGGUUAGAUACAUUUGUGCUAAGCUACAGCUUUUCAUAGACAACUUGUUGACUAUGUUUAGUCUUGUGACUUACCCGCUUAUGCUAUUUUACCUACGCUUAGGAU
rnacentral:misc_RNA from 1 species